AGCCACACUGGGACUGAGACACGGCCCAGACUCUACGGGAGGCAGCAGUGGGGAAUUUUCCGCAAUGGGCGCAAGCCUGACGGAGCAACGCCGCGUGUGGGAUGAAGGCCUGUGGGUUGUAAACCACUUUUCUCAGGGACGAACACAAUGACGGUACCUGAGGAAUCAGCCUCGGCUAACUCUGUGCCAGCAGCCGCGGUAAGACAGAGGAGGCAAGCGUUAUCCGGAAUUAUUGGGCGUAAAGCGUCCGUAGGUGGUCUAGCAAGUCUGGGGUUAAAGCCCGGAGCCCAACUCCGGAUCGGCCUUGGAAACUGCCAGACUCGAGUAAGGUAGGGGUUGCGGGAAUUCCCGGUGUAGCGGUAAAAUGCGUAGAUAUCGGGAAGAACACCAGCGGCGAAAGCGCGCAACUGGGCCAUUACUGACACUGAGGGACGAAAGCUAGGGGAGCGAAUGGGAUUAGAUACCCCAGUAGUCCUAGCCGUAAACGAUGGUGACUAGAUGUGGCUCGUAUUGACCCGAGCCGUGUCGUAGCUAACGCGAUAAGUCACCCGCCUGGGGAGUACGCACGCAAGUGCGAAACUCAAAGGAAUUGACGGGGGCCCGCACAAGCGGUGGAGCAUGUGGAUUAAUUCGAUGCAACGCGAAGAACCUUACCAGGACUUGACAUCCUGCGAACCCCGCUGAAAGGUGGGGGUGCCUUCGGGAGCGCAGAGACAGGUGGUGCAUGGCUGUCGUCAGCUCGUGUCGUGAGAUGUUGGGUUAAGUCCCGCAACGAGCGCAACCCGCGUCCUUAGUUGCCAGCAUUUAGUUGGGCACUCUGGGGAGACUGCCGGUGACAAGCCGGAGGAAGGUGCGGAUGACGUCAAGUCAGCAUGCCCCUUACCGCCCUGGGCGUCACACGUGCUACAAUGGCCAGCACAAAGG
rnacentral:rRNA from 1 species